CGGUAGCUCAGACGGUAGAGCAACUGACUUUUAAUCAGUGGGUCGAGGGUUCGAGUCCCUUCCG
rnacentral:tRNA from 1 species